rnacentral:misc_RNA from 1 species
CUUCUCCUGAUCUUUCCGGCUUUCGUUUUCUUUUUUGACCUGCCACGAUCUCUAUUCCACUUCUUCUUGCCUCGUCUUCAUUGGCUGAAGCACUCUUAACUAGAUAGAAACACGACAUUCACGCCUUCUAUCCAUCCAGUAUCCCUCCUCCCUGUGCACAAGCACCCGGUUCCACUCGUUCCACGCCCUACCGCUCCCGCCCCCCCCCUUUACAGCCUCUCCUCACCUCCUACGUCUCUCCCCUGGCUGCGUGUCUUCAGAGCCCGUCUGUGUUGUUGUUUUCGUACGGUGAGUGUUUGUGACUCUGGGCUUGUGUGCGCGUGUACUUCUGCUUCCCUUCCUUUCGUUGCGUGGACUGCCUUCUCUCUCCUUGACAGCCUCUUCGCACGUGCGCGUGGGUGCGAUCGCGCUUGCAUAAAUAUCACUCGACCUCUGUGUGUGCACCAGCUCCCUCCUCUCCUCCUUCUCCCUUCCGUGACUCCGUCUGUGUAUGUGCGUGUGCGCGACUUCAUCGUAUUGGGCCGCCCCUCUUCUCUCCUCGUGUUUUCGUUGUUUGACCUGCGUGUUCUCCUCCUUUUCCUCUUUCUAAAUCCUGUUCUGCUUUCGGUUUCGCUGGAGUCUUCCUCACUCCUCAUCACACACACACACACACACACACACCUACCGCUCGCGAAGGCAAGCAAAACAGCAGCUGCAAUAAAGUUUGCUUGCCGAGUUCACAGAUACUGACACUGACACAUACACGCACACACAGUCAGUCUCCAGCCAUGAGCUACGGCGGGUACGAUCAAGGCUACGGCGGCGGCUUUGGGUGCAACAUGCAAGACUAUACUUACCAGCAGCAGCAGACGCUGCCGUACCAAGCGCAUGGCGGCUACAACCUGUACGGGCAACUUGAUGUACACCCUCCGCAGCAGAUGAGUGGCGUGACCGGCAAUGCUAAUGGGGCUUACCAAUACCACGGCUACACACAACCGUGCGGGGACGAUGCUCACUCGACGGCGCUGAAGUCGUCGAAAAGCUUCACGGGUCCCUCAGCUGACGUGGAACGCAAACAGAGCAGCGUGACACGCACCCGUUCCAUUGCCUCGCGCAGCAGCAAAGGCGGUGGCACGGGCAUGGCCCGCCACGGCAGCGUCUUCUUCGGAACCCGCGAGCGCGACACCCAAGUGGCCAUCAGCACUCGCGGCGGCAUGAGCGUGCGCGGCCUUGACGAGGAGGAAUUCGAGGAGUUAAAGCAGUACUACGGAGACAUGGCGUGCCGUAACGAGGAGCGGCGCAUGGACGGGCUGAAAGCUGUGCGGAGCUACCGUGGCGACAUCGAGGACGGAGAGGAUGUCGGCAAGCCGCGCCGCGUGACAAACCGCCGCAACGUGGACGGCCGCUCGGCGACCGGCUAUGGUGGCAUCAACUUCAAGCGCAAAGCAGCCAUGCGCAAUGGCGAGCAGUGGGGUGAGGUCGAGAUCCGCAACAGGCCGAAUGGCAACGGUGGCCGCUCGCGCAGCAUGGAGAGACCCGUCGUGCAGCAGCCGAUACCCGGGCCGAGCAUGUACAUGGCACCCGCUGUGCUCGAUGAGCCACCGGUGGUGCCGCAGAUAUACAAUCGGGAAGAUGUCCACUCUUAUAGCAACAUCAGUGACUCGUUUUCGGAGGCGGACGAGGGUGCACCGAGAGAUUUCGACUACUGAACAAACAACGAGGGAAAGCAGGAGCUGAGGAAGACACGCAGAGGACAAAAAUAAAGGUCCAGGAGAGAAACUAGUACUGGGGAGCCUGUCGACGCCCCAUAGAGUGUGUGGAGAGAGAAGAGAGCAUGCCUGCAUCGCCGAAGACACACGUACACGCAUGGGGGUGGGGCCUGGCGUCAUCGUUGCGAUCCUUCACUCGUCGCUUUGCGUGAAAGCGAGUGGGUGGGCGUUGCUGAUAGCCCGUCUCCCUCUUUCGAUCUCUUUGACCCGCGCUUCUGCUCCGUUUUUUUUUUCUUUGUGUGUGUGUGUGUGUGUGCUCUUUGCGUUUAUUUCUGCUCCUUUCAUAUUGCUUGUCGACAAAUCUUUUUCCCCUUUCCCCAUCGUGUGCAGUGUAUUACCUCCUCUCGUUCUUGGCCGUUUGUCGACUUUCCCUGGCUGAUUCGUACCUCACCUCGCCCUCUUCGGCGCACCCACUCCUACCUUUUCCUCUGCGCCUUCGCUCACCCUCUUUCUCCCUCCUCUCUCUCUGCAUUGUUUCCGUUUCUGUUUUCAGCUCUCUUCUUUCUGGUUUCUCUGUCCGCCCCGCUCUCUCUCUCCCGCCGGCGUCGUCGUCUUCAUGUUUCUUUUUUUGUGUUUCGCGCUCUUCUCCACCAAUGCAUUAUUCUCUUCGUGCCCUUUCCUUGUUAUCCCCCCAUCCUGUUCUCUUUCUCUUGCUGUGUGAUCUAUGCGCGUUACUUUUCUAUUGACUCUCUUCCUCCGCCCACGUUUUUGUUUUCUGUGUCCACUUGGUUGGGCUGGCGGGCGUUAUUGCCGACUCCUUCGUCUGCUGCCUUUUCUUGCUGUUCAUGGGGUUGCUACCCUACUGCUCACCCCCAUAUCCGAACCUACCCUCCGUCUUCCUCUCUGCAUUCCGACUGUUUUUGCGGCCGCAUAUGUGCACUGUUGUUUGCUGCUUUGCGUAUUCAUGGGGCGUGCUCAUGUAUGUGUUUACGUGUCCGACUUUUACGAGCGCGCGUAUCUUGCCCUAACUAGGCGUAUGUGUGUCUCUGGUGCCACCGCCUCCGUGUGCGUCUGUCUCCUCGUCCCCUCCGGCCCCUCUCCCUUACUUGCUUGUGCCUCUGACGCUUUUCCCCCUUGUUCACUUUUGCGCUGGUGCUGCAUUAUUUUCCCUUGGCACCCUGUUAGUUGCCUUUUCGAGACAUGCUUGGUAGAACACACAGACACACAUGUCCACUCUCUUAUGCACAUACACAGAAGGGUGGACCUGCUUGCAUCGACGGGCAGGUGGAUGCACACGCACGUACACAAACACAUACACACACACACACACGAAUGCGCGCGCACCUUUGUGCUAUGCUGCUUUUCCUCGCGUGUAUUGUUGUUGUCCACUUCCCUCCUUACUGUUUCCCUUGUGGGAGCAUGCAUCUUUUCCUCUCGCUUUUUUUUUGGUGCAUUGGUACACACCAGAUGAGGAUUGCUGUGCAACGGCAACAAAAAGGUCGACAGCUGCUCAUCGUUGUAUCUCUCCCCAUCUCUGUUUUCCUUUUUCGUAUGACCGCGGCAUCAUGUGAUGUCGGUAUGGGGAGGGGAGAAGAGGACAUGCGAGGGAGGCGGGGCUAGUACGGUGAGGCGUAUAUAUAUAUGUGUAUGUCUGUGAGGGAAGGGGGAGGGGGUUGAGAUUUUGACACCGCUCCAGCUGUGUAUGCAGGCAGGCGUGCGGAAUCGCCUUCAAGUUCGCCGAAAGGCGCAUGACUGUCUUUACCCCUCGCCCUCUACCCCCCCCCUCCGUCUUCCCUUUUCCCCUUUCUCCACGCUUCUGCGGCGCCCCUGUGUGAUUCAAAGUUGCCAUUUUUGUUUUUUUGUUGUUGUCUUUCGUGUCUUUUGCUUCAUCAUGCAUUUUUUUAUUGACUUGCGGUGCUGCCAUUAGAGUUCAGAAUAAGAAGGUGGAAAGCAGAAGAAGCAAGGGAAGGAUGGAGAGGUGGUACCCUCGCACAUGUUUGCCUGUGCAUGCGUCUGACCGAUCAGCCCCCCCCCCCCACAAACACACACACACACACACACCAGCUCAGGACCCGGAAGAGGCCCUCCCCCUCCCUGUUCAGGGAGAAAACGAACAAAGAACCAGAUCAAGCGUCGUUUCUUGUUGAGCGGAAGAGCGAAAAAGGCUGCCGUACAGAUGUGUGUCGGAGAGCGGCGCAGAAUGAAGAAUCUCACUGCGCUUCUCCUCUCACGCACGUUUUGAGAUCGACUUCGCUCCCCAAUGUAUAUAUAUAUAUAUAUAUACAUUCGUCUUGGCGGGGUGGCGCCCACAGGGUCGGCGCGUUAUUAUUUUUUUGUGAGUUGCACAUAUAUAUGCAUAUGUAUCCUUUUCCCUCUCUUUCCGCAUUUUCGGUAAUUUUCUCACACACUUCAG